rnacentral:rRNA from 1 species
ACGCUCGACACCUACGGGAGUCAGCAGUGGGGAAUAUUGCACAAUGGGGGAAACCCUGAUGCAGCGACGCCGCGUGGAGGAAGAAGGUCUUCGGAUUGUAAACUCCUGUUGUUGGGGAAAAAGAGGAUGGUACCCAACAAGGAAGUGACGGCUAACUACGUGCUAGCAGCCGCGGUAAUCUGAGCGGGCUGGCAAGGC